UAUUGAUGAGUUGUGUUGCUUUUUUUGGAGGGGGUCCCUACCCGCCCUUAUAUAGUUGGGGGAGCAGGGUUACAGGGUAGGAGUCCUAGUCGAACACGGUUACAGAGUGCUACUCGGUGAAGUAGUUUUCUUGUGUAUUCUGACUACUCUUCCGGAGUCCGUGUAGGCUAUGUUACCUACGCAGCCUCUAUGUCCUGAUCACGUCCGAGUACGUCCCUGAGUGGGCCGUACAAGGCCUACUUGUGGGCCCGGGGAUGUAUGCCUGACAAGCCCCCGAGUGAUUUCUAGUCGAGUGGAAC
rnacentral:lncRNA from 1 species